CAGCAGCCGCGGGAAUACGUAGGUGGCAAGCGUUGUCCGGAAUUAUUGGGCGUAAAGGGCUCGCAGGCGGUUUCUUAAGUCUGAUGUGAAAGCCCCCGGCUCAACCGGGGAGGGUCAUUGGAAACUGGGAAACUUGAGUGCAGAAGAGGAGAGUGGAAUUCCACGUGUAGCGGUGAAAUGCGUAGAGAUGUGGAGGAACACCAGUGGCGAAGGCGACUCUCUGGUCUGUAACUGACGCUGAGGAGCUAAAGCGUGGGGAGCGAACAGGAUUAGAUACCCCAGUAGUCCCUGUCUUUAUACA
rnacentral:rRNA from 1 species